UACAGAGGGUGCGAGCGUUAAUCGGAAUUACUGGGCGUAAAGCGUGCGUAGGCGGUGUGUCAAGUCAGGCGUGAAAGCCCCGGGCUCAACCUGGGAACAGCGCUUGAGACUGGCACGCUCGAGUUCGGGAGAGGAUGGUGGAAUUCCCAGUGUAGAGGUGAAAUUCGUAGAUAUUGGGAAGAACACCGAUGGCGAAGGCAGCCAUCUGGACCGACACUGACGCUGAGGCGCGAAAGCGUGGGGAGCAAACAGG
rnacentral:rRNA from 1 species